AAAAAAAUAGAAAAUAAAAGUGGAAAGCCUCGUACGUCCCCGUCCGCGUGUUCCACUCACCGUCGGUAAUCCACGACCGCCCCUGCUUGGGGUUCACCAGUCCCGGUGUGUGGGCAUUGGCGGGGCACCGUACACGAUGUGUCCGUUGCGCCUCGUCCUGGUGUUCCUCUCCGCCGCCCUCGCCGGAUUCUUCGCCUGGAAAUCGAUCCGCUCCCCUCCCCCUUCCCCGAUCUCCGAUGACUCCCAGGAGAUCGGCGCCUCCCCCGGCGACUCCUCCAUCAAAGGCCGGAUCCUCGGCGCUGGAAAGGUGAUUGAGAAUGGGUACUGGGUGUUUCUUGAUAUGGCCAGCGGGAGGUACUUGUGGAGGGCGAUGAGAGAAAGCAAAUUUUAUCGGCUUCAAAGGUUCGUUACUUGCACAUUCAUAUGUCCUCAAUGAAAUCGCUACCGAAGCUACCAUAAUCAGAUGUUUGAGGUCUUAUUUUCAUUUAAUAUCCUAUGAAAAGUUCUUUGUUUUAUUCCUUCGAUGUAUAUGCUGUAAGCGAUGCCAGAUUAUAGGUAUUUACGAGCAGAAGUUGCAGCCUUCGUUUAAUGUAAGAAACAAUCGCCAUCAUCAAGAUCAUAUCUUGACUGUUUCUGUAUGAACAAAAAGCUAAGCUUCGCGGUGCAAUGCCAUUCAUUGUAAUCUAUUUUGUUUCUAAUGGAAAUGAGGUUGAUGUCAACUUUGUCGACAUUCUGUUUCUUAUGUGAUGUCAAGUAAAUUACCAGUAAGCAAGCCUUUGGAUGAUCUCUUUUGGAGAUACAUGACAAGAACAGAGCCAGUGAUUCCAACCUUCUUAUAUACACUUCUGUUCUCUAGCAAAUGGUAAGUAAUGCUUAAGCUUAGCCGAGAGGCACAUGCCCUUGAGAAAGCAUGAAUUGGAAAUCUGGCAUCGCAGCGCCACACUUUCUUCUGGAGUGAGAGGCUAGAAGGCAUUGGUUGCAUGAUCAGGUAAUUGGUGAUCAUACAUUGCCAUUCGGAUUGCUUUCAGUGGUUUACAGGAUCUCAAUCUCCCACUUGUACAAGCAUCUGAUUCCACCCUCCACCAAUAAGUUUGGUUCAUGCAGAACAAUCUUUUUGAUGGAACUGUAUGUUACUCGUACUGUUUGGAAUAGAUUCUCUUCUUUCUCCAGAAAAUGUACUCAACCCUGUAUAUGAGCAAAUUGCAUGAGAAUUGUCAGGUCUCAAAGCAGAGGGCUGGGGCU